rnacentral:pre_miRNA from 1 species
UGAGAUAUUACAGGGCAAAAUCUUCAGUGGCAGGCAGUAUAUGGCUCCAUUCAUCAGGCAUCAGCUGUAUGGAAAAUUGCAGUGUGUUCUCCGCCAAUGGAGAUUUGUCCGGUAAUUCCGGUUC